AGAGAGCACGGAAAAUUGUAGCCAAUGCAUUGGAAAGAAACUAUUUUGAAUUUCAAAUGUUAUUGAAGGAAAUCGAAAGCCAGUGUAAAGAACUGGGUAGACCUUUCAAUCCUUCUGCACUACAGGAGAAGCUAAUGUUGGUGUGGCAGCCUCAGGAAUGGGCUAAGUGAUAUGGGGAAAGCCUGAAGCAACCUUGGCACAACUGCAGAUCAAAGAGAAAAGCAAUGUGAUACAGGGGACUGAUGAUAUAAAGCAAAAACCCCCUGCCCUUUUCCAGUCCUUAAAGAAAACUGUAAAGCAAUUCCAUAUUGUUAGAGAAUAUUAUGUAAGACAAUGGUAAAUAAAGGUCUUCUUUUAGUUCAAGUUCUGGUUAAUGUCAUGCAUUUUACAACAGUCUUCCAAAGUGCUGGUUAAAUGCAUAGCUUGUAAGCUUUUACUUUGUAAAGUAAUAUUCUUCUGGUCUUCAUGUGUUCAUCUUCAAAGUAUUCAUAUUAUGCAUUUCAAAUGAGGAAUGGUUUAAUCAGCCUUUUUUUGUUUUUCAUUUGACCACAUCUUGAUGCCUUUGCUGGCCCUGUUGAAUUCCUGUUCCUGUGCUUUGAUUGAGAUGAGAAUGAGCAAUCAUAUCCUAGUAGUCAUACCUUAGUUACAUACAAAUAUAUAUUUAUAUCUAUAUCAAGAGUAUAUAUACAUAUAAACAGAUUUGACAUCUUACGUGUGGAAUUUUGUUUGCCAUAAAUGGCCAUGAGACUCAUAGUACUUAAUCCAGGCUCAAACAUAAUAGAAUGGGAGAUACUGUUGAACAUGCUGUUGUUCCUAACACAGAGAAAUGGUGGCUGAAGCUGUUUCCAAGUGUCAGAGGAUGCUAAGGAGAAGACUGUGCAAGUGAUAACACAGAUGGGCCUUGCUAUAUGGGCAAAUGUCCCAGUAUGAAAAGUGCCAGUGUUAGGCUUGAUUAAACUUAUAGCCGUAGUUCCAUAUUUUGUUCAGCAACCGCCCAAUGCCCAUCAUUAUCUUUAUUUGUUCAUGGCAUUUGUAUGCUUUCCCAUAACAUACUUUUUGUGUUUAAUAAACAAAUAUAAAUACAAAAUAUAACAUAAAAUCUUAAAAGGUGCAGUCUGGAAAAUAGAACAACAUGACAAAUCACAAAUCACCCUAAAUUAUAAACAGAUAUUAAACCUUGAGAAAUUUUGGUAAUAUGAGUUAUUUUAAAAACCUCCAUAAUGGAAGCAAUGCUGGUGAAGAGUGCACAAAAGAUGUUGAAAAUGAUGCAUGGAUGAUGCCUUAAAGAUUGUUGCUUGUCAAACCACACUGGAGAAGUCAUUCCACAAUCGAAAUAGCCCUACUGAAAAUACUUUUAUGUUACUGCCUCUGAGGAUGCUUGCCAUAGAUGCAGACGAAACGUCAGGAGAAAAUGCCUCUAGAUCAUGGCCAUAUAGCACAAAAAACCCUACAACAACCCACUUUUAUGUUAGUUCCCGGUCCCACUGCGUUUUUUACAAGUUUGCUAGGUGUUAGUCACUUGCAUAAAAAUCACAUUAAAUUGGCUUUUAAAAAUGCUCUUAUUUUAGCUAGUAUAGUUAUUUAAAAACAAAUAUAGUUUCUAGCAAACAUUGUUAGGGUUUAUGUUGUUACACAAAUUGUGGAUGACAGAAAUAAGAAAGCAAAGGAAGCCCUUCACUCUUGAAGCUAGUAAAAUCUUUAGAUUGUUUCUAAAUUGUUGUUUCUUUUGGAAUCAGGGAAGGACAGUUCUUUUCUGAAAGCAUUGAACCGAUUUAAUUGAAAGAACAAUUUGAUUUGUUACUUGAGUGUCUUCUACAGUAAAACAGCUUGGAAUGCUUAAAACUUCCCUUCCCUUCCCAAACCAAGGAUUUAAUACUGGCAGGUGAACUUUUGAAGGGUGCUCUCAAACAUAAAGAGACAAUAACUGUCUUAAAGGUAGAAUUUUGUCAAUAUUUUUUUGCCUUGAGCUGGAAAAA